rnacentral:rRNA from 1 species
UGAAAUGCGUAGAGAUUAGGAAGAACACCAGUGGCGAAGGCGGUUUCCUGGACUGUAACUGACGCUGAGGCACGAAAGCGUGGGUAGCAAACAGGAUUAGAUACCCUGGUAGNCCACGCCGUAAACGAUGAAUACUAGGUGUAGGAGGGUCCAACCUUCUGUGCCGCAGUUAACACAUUAAGUAUUCCGCCUGGGGAGUACGGUCGCAAGACUAAAACUCAAAGGAAUUGACGGGGGCCCGCACAAGCAGCGGAGCAUGUGGUUUAAUUCGAAGCAACGCGAAGAACCUUACCUGGACUUGACAUCCCCUGAAUUACUCGUAACUGAGGAAAUCUCUUCGGAGACAGGGAGACAGGUGGUGCAUGGUUGUCGUCAGCUCGUGUCGUGAGAUGUUGGGUUAAGUCCCGCAACGAGCGCAACCCUUAUUAUUAGUUGCUACCAUUAAGUUGAGCACUCUAAUGAGACUGCCCGGGUGAACCGGGAGGAAGGUGGGGAUGACGUCAAAUCAUCAUGCCCCUUAUGUUCAGGGCUACACACGUGCUACAAUGGUGGGUACAGAGAGAAGCGAUACCGCGAGGUGGAGCAAAUCUCAAAAACCCAUCCCAGUUCGGAUUGCAGGCUGAAACUCGCCUGCAUGAAGCCGGAGUUGCUAGUAAUCGCAAAUCAGAAUGUUGCGGUGAAUACGUUCCCGGGCCUUGUACACACCGCCCGUCACACCAUGAGAGUUGGCAACACCCGAAGUCCGUGAGGUAACCGUAAGGAGCCAGCGGCCGAAGGUGGGGUUAAUGAUUGGGGUGAAGUCGUAACAAGGUAGCCG